rnacentral:snRNA from 1 species
AUACUUACCUGGCAGGGGAGAUACCAUGAUCACGAAGGUGGUUUUCCCAGGGCGAGGCUUAUCCAUUGCACUCUGGAUGUGCUGACCCCUGCGAUUUCCCCAAAUGUGGGAAACUCGACUGCAUGAUUUGUGGCAGUGGGGGACUGCGUUCACGCUCUCCCCUG